GGAGCUGUCCUAGACACUAUGUAAAAGUUUUAUUUAGUUCUCACUGUAAUGUUGGCCUUAUGUUAGCAUCCCAUUUUUCAGACUGAGGAAAUUAUGGCUCAGAGAGGUUAAGAGACUUAUUGAAGGUCACACAGCUCCACAAACUUUGGUGUAGAUUGAACGUGUACAUGGGUCUAUGUGACUUUGAAUCUUGCAUUCUUUACAUUAUUGGAAUAUUUCACAGAAGGAAAAUGACAUAUUAACAUGGCAAUAAGAUUUCUGGUUCCAGUCUGGUUACUGGUCUUCCAAGAGUGUUAUAGGAUGUAUAGCCUGAGCUCUGAAGCUUUGUUCUGAAGCAUGCUAUCAAUAUGAACAAAUUGGUAUGGAAGGAAGCCACAAAUUAUAUACUAAAAUCUAGUUCAUCAGAGGAAAAUAUAGUUAAAUACAUUUACAUUCCCAGAACUGUUAAUAUUGAAGAAUAAAACACACAGUGGGAAAGAGACGAAGAGAAAAUACGCCUGUUUUUAUGACUUGUUGAUAUCUACAGGGUUUUUCCUUAAGCCUCACAACAAUUUACAGCAUUGCCAGCAGCAUUCAGUACAUUCAGAACAGGAUAAUUUCACCCGCAGCUGAACUAGGGCCAUGCCUGGGACAGACAGAGAAUGGCCUUCCAGCAGACAUGCCAAGAAGCAAGCCAGGGUCAGUGAGUGAAGAGGAGGGCAGGCCCAUUUGAAGCAACACAGUUUAUGUAAGUGUGAUCUAACUGCUUUCACUGGAAAUGGGUCAGACUCCAGUUGAGAGAACCAGGGGCCUGAAUGACCCCAGCAAAAUCACUGUGGCAAUUCUUUCAAUCACCUCUGAGAAUAUGGCCCUGUGACGACAUAAUGACGUUUGGAUUAAUUCCAGUCGGCUGUGUUUUCCCCUCCUUUCUUGCCUCCCCGUAGUUGAUUUGCCAAAUUUUUUUUGUUUGCUUAAAUACGCGGAACUAAACAGGAUACAUUAUAUGACAGUCUGUGAUAAAUUUACCACUGGGAAUAGGGAAAAAGUAUGGGAUAAAGAAAUAGGUAUUUUUCGCCUCUCACAGCUGUGAUUCAGUUCUGACUCAAAAGGAAGUGUGCCACCUACUGAAUCACAGAAACCACUUCCUGUGGCUGUUUGGUUUAUUCUGGAGGAGCAUCAGGCCAAGUGCUGCCCUGCCCUGACCCUGACUGGCUCUUCAGAGCCAAGGCAUUCACAGCUUGAGGUGGUUUGGCCUCAGACUCUUGAGAACAUUGCAUAUUAAAUUACAAGUGUUUCGUUUCCUAGCAAGGAGUCUUUAGCAACAUGAAAACGAACGUGUGUUAUUUGCAAACCAAGUAUAUCAUUACUGAACCUGAAUAUCCUUACUUUUUCAUAAGGUACGUAUUCCGGAUGACCACUCUUAAGAUCUGAAUGUACACUGGUUCUGUUUUUCCUGAGGGGAACUUGGGCAGUCUGCAGGGUGGCAUUUACCAGCUGAGGUAGGAGAAUCGCUGGAACCCGAGAGGCGGAGGCUGCAGUGAGUUGAGAUCAUGUCACUGCACUCCAGGCUGGGCAACAGAGUGAGACUCUGUCUCAGAAAAAAAAAAAAAGAAAGAAAGAAAGAAAGAAAGUUAC
ensembl:lncRNA LUCAT1 lung cancer associated transcript 1